rnacentral:rRNA from 1 species
AGGACGAACGCUGGCGGCGUGCUUAACACAUGCAAGUCGAGCGGAAAGGCCCUUCGGGGUACUCGAGCGGCGAACGGGUGAGUAACACGUGAGCAAUCUGCCCUUAGCUUCGGGAUAGCCCCGGGAAACCGGGAUUAAUACCGAAUACGACCUCGGCCGACAUCGGCUUUGGUGGAAAGUUUUUCGGCUAGGGAUGAACUCGCGGCCUAUCAGCUUGUUGGUGGGGUAAUGGCCUACCAAGGCGACGACGGGUAGCCGGCCUGAGAGGGCGACCGGCCACACUGGGACUGAGACACGGCCCAGACUCCUACGGGAGGCAGCAGUGGGAAUAUGCGCAAUGGGCGAAAGCCUGACGCAGCGACGCCGCGUGGGGGAUGAAGGCCUUCGGGUUGUAAACCCCUUUCAGCAGGGACGAAGCGAGAGUGACGGUACCUGCAGAAGAAGCGCCGGCUAACUACGCGCCAGCAGCCGC